rnacentral:rRNA from 1 species
UAAACGACUCUCGGCAACGGAUAUCUUGGCUCUCGCAUCGAUGAAGAACGUAGCGAAAUGCGAUACUUGGUGUGAAUUGCAGAAUCCCGUGAACCAUCGAGUUUUUGAACGCAAGUUGCGCCCGAANCCUUUNGGCUAGGGCACGUCUGCCUGGGCGUCACGC